rnacentral:misc_RNA from 1 species
UGUGUAUAGUACACCACAAGUGAAGUUAAAACUCACAAGGCGUACAAGAUUUUGAGAGAAAUAAUCAGUUGCUGAGCUAAAAUACAACACUUCCCAUAGUUGUACAACUUUCAGAACAACCUCUUACAAAUCCAUUGCUCAAAUGUUACUAUUUCUAACUGUACGUUUGAACUUCACCCUGCCCUUACCAUAGAUAUACAUUUAUGUUAGCUUCAAAUCUCUGCACCUUCGGUAUGUCCUCGAGAACUCUCUGACAAAAUUGCUUUUCCCUUACUAUCAGAAAUUCCUAAAUCAUCUGCUUUUUUUUGUAUGUUUGGAUGCUCUAAAAGCUUGAGCUGGGUUUGCAGAACCUCAAUUUGUUGCUGUAAAAGUAUCUUAUGGGCCUCAAGUUGAGACGUUGGAAUACCAAGGUUGUUAGCACCUGGAUAUUGAAAAGGGAGAAAACCGGAUUGUGGAUAUUGAGCAAAGGGCAUAUUUGCUAAUUGAUUGUGCGAUGAUUGUUCAUUCAAUGCCCGUUCCCCAUCUGAGAGCACAUUGGCAGAACUGCCCACUGUACUAUAGGAGGGAGGAACUGGAGCAUAUCCAGGAGACCACGCUAGUGUUGGUACAGAAGGAUAAACAUAAGACUUCUGAUAAACUGCUGCUGCUGCUGCAGCAGCUUGGAUUCUAGCUUGGUGCUGGCUAACAUUAUUACUUGGCGUGGUGUUUGCUUGCGAACCCUGAGAUGCACUUGCCGCACUUGAUCCAGGGCCUUGUUGCACAUCUGGUCGUGAUCCUGCCACAUUUGUCCCAUUUUCAGUUGGCACAACAAGGGCUCUGCAGGUAGGACAGGUGUGUUGACGCUCUAGCCAUGAGCGGAGGCAAUGCACAUGAAACAGAUGACCGCAAAUGAGUUUCUUAGCAGUGGUCAUCUCCUCACGACAAAUGAUGCAGGUAGCAUCACUUGCAUUGAG